rnacentral:rRNA from 1 species
UACGUAGGCAGCAAGCGUUGUUCGGAGUUACUGGGCGUAAAGGGUGUGUAGGUGGCCUGUUAAGUUCCGUGUGAAAUCUCCCGGCUCAACCGGGAGGGUGCGCGGAAAACUGGCGGGCUAGAGUACGGGAUGGGAGAGUAGAAUUCCUGGUGUAGCGGUGAAAUGCGUAGAUAUCAGGAGGAACACCGGUGGCGAAGGCGGUUCUCUGGGCCUGUACUGACGCUGAGGAACGAAAGCGUGGGGAGCGAACAGG